GUAGACGCUAUACUCUAAGAUUAACCCAUGCAUGUUUAUUGAAUAUAAAGAAAAGACGAACAGCUCAGUAACUCUUAUUUGAUUUGAUGUAUUAGGAUUCUAACUAUGUUAAAUUAUAGGUAACAAUAAUACAAUAAGAAUAAGAUCUAUCAGUUAGUUGUUAAGGUAAUGGCUUAACAAGACUAUGACGGAUAACGGUAUUACUUUGUAAUAUUCCGGAGAAGGAGCCUGAGAGAUUGCUACUAAGUCUAAGGAUUGCAGCAGGGGCGAAACUUGACCUAUGAUAUUAUAUUGAGGCAGUUAUGAGUAGUAUUUUAUAAUUAUUGUAGUAUUGUAAGUACAUAUUACAAGAUAAAUCGGAGGGCAAAUCGAGUGCCAGCAGCCGCGGUAAUACUUGUUCCGAUAGUGUGUAUGAUGAUUGAUGCAGUUAAAAAGUCUGUAGUUUAUUUAUAAUAAGCAUUGUAAAGGUAUACUGUAUGGUUAGGAGAGAGAUGAAAUGUGAUAACCCUAACUGGAUGAACAGAAGCGAAAGCUGUAUACUUAAAUGUAUUAUUAGAACAAGGACGUAAGCUAGAGGAUCGAAGAUGAUUAGAUACCAUUGUAGUUCUAGCAGUAAACUAUGUUGAAUCAUAGAUAUAUUUUGAUAUAUAUUUAUGUAGAGAAAUUAAGAUUAUAUUGAUUCUGGGGAUAGUAUGAUCGCAAGAUUGAAAAUUAAAGAAAUUGACGGAAGAAUACCACAAGGAGUGGAUUGUGCGGCUUAAUUUGACUCAACGCGGGGUAAUUUACCAGGUAUAACAUGGUAAAAUAUUUUAUCAUGAUAGUGGUGCAUGGCCGUUUCCAAUGGAUGCUGUGAAGUAAUGAUUAAUUUCAACAAGAUGUGAGACCCUCAUUUAGACAGAUGUAGUGAUACAUAUGAAGGAGAGGAUUAAAACAGGUCCGUUAUGCCCUAAGAUAAUCUGGGUUGCACGCGCAAUACAAUAAUAUUUGAUAUUAUAAGGGAUAAUAUAAUGUAAGAUAUAUUUGAACAUGGAAUUGCUAGUAAAUUUUAUUUAAUAAGUAGAAUUGAAUGAGUCCCUGUUCUUUGUACACACCGCCCGUCGCUAUCUAAGAUGGUAUUAUCUAUGAACAAAUUUAUAAAGUGAAUAGAUAGUACUAGAUCUGAUAU
rnacentral:rRNA from 1 species